CCUACGGAGGGCAGCAGUGGGGGAUAUUGCACAAUGGGGGAAACCCUGAUGCAGCGACGCCGCGUGAGCGAUGAAGUAUUUCGGUAUGUAAAGCUCUAUCAGCAGGGAAGAAAAUGACGGUACCUGACUAAGAAGCCCCGGCUAACUACGUGCCAGCAGCCGCGGUAAUACGUAGGGGGCAAGCGUUAUCCGGAUUUACUGGGGGUAAAGGGAGCGUAGACGGGGAUGCAAGCCAGAUGUGAAAGCCGGGGGCUCAACCCCGGGACUGCAUUUGGAACUGUAUAGCUGGAGUGUCGGAGAGGCAGGCGGAAUUCCUGGUGUAGCGGUGAAAUGCGUAGAUAUUAGGAAGAACACCAGUGGCGAAGGCGGCCUGCUGGACGAUGACUGACGUUGAGGCUCGAAAGCGUGGGGAGCAAACAGGAUUAGAUACCCCAGUAGUC
rnacentral:rRNA from 1 species